ACAUUGUAAACCAAGAAAAAUAUGUGACAUAUAGAAUAUUAUUCAUCUACAAAUUCAUUGAUCACAUAGAAGUAGAAGGAGGAAUAAUGGUCACCAGAACUUGAGAUGAGUAUAGGACUAAUAGAAUAUGGAGAGAAGUCAGUUAAAAGGCAUGCAGUUAGGAGAAAUUCUUAAAACAUUUUUUUUUGUUGUUUUCCUCCCUUCCUCCCUUCCUUCUUUCCCCUUUUAUUUAUACUGAGGAUUGACUCAUUACUCUAAUAAGCAUUAACACAUGUUUGUUAGACAAGUGCUGUGCCAUUCAUUGUAUAUUUAAAAAUAACUUACACAAAUUCCAUUGUGUAUAUAUACCACAUUUUCUUGAUCCAUUCAUCUGCUGAGGGGC